rnacentral:rRNA from 1 species
AUACGGAGGGGACAAGCGUUAUUCGGAAUCACUGGGCGUAAAGGACGCGUAGGCGGGUUAUUAUGUCGGGUGUGAAAUCCAAUGGCUCAACCAUUGAACUGCAUUCGAAACUGAUAACCUAGAGUAUGGAAGGGGCAGGUGGAAUUAGUGGUGUAGGGGUAAAAUCCGUAGAUAUCACUAGGAAUACCGAAAGCGAAGGCGACCUGCUGGGACAUUACUGACGCUGAGGCGUGAAAGCGUGGGGAGCAAACAGGAUUAGAAACCCGGGUAGUCC